GAACUGAAGAGUUUGAUCAUGGCUCAGAUUGAACGCUGGCGGCAGGCCUAACACAUGCAAGUCGAGCGGAUGAAGGGAGCUUGCUCCUGGAUUCAGCGGCGGACGGGUGAGUAAUGCCUAGGAAUCUGCCUGGUAGUGGGGGAUAACGUCCGGAAACGGGCGCUAAUACCGCAUACGUCCUGAGGGAGAAAGUGGGGGAUCUUCGGACCUCACGCUAUCAGAUGAGCCUAGGUCGGAUUAGCUAGUUGGUGGGGUAAAGGCCUACCAAGGCGACGAUCCGUAACUGGUCUGAGAGGAUGAUCAGUCACACUGGAACUGAGACACGGUCCAGACUCCUACGGGAGGCAGCAGUGGGGAAUAUUGGACAAUGGGCGAAAGCCUGAUCCAGCCAUGCCGCGUGUGUGAAGAAGGUCUUCGGAUUGUAAAGCACUUUAAGUUGGGAGGAAGGGCAGUAAGUUAAUACCUUGCUGUUUUGACGUUA
rnacentral:rRNA from 1 species